rnacentral:lncRNA from 1 species
GCUUUUGACCGGUUAGAUUCUAAAGAAAACAUCUACUACAUUCAUCACAAUCUCUAUGUGUUCUUAUAUAUCUCUUAGUCUAUAUGAAGGGUUAGGUUCUAAAGAAUGUAUCCACUACAUACACCGCUAUCUCUAUGUGUUCUUAUAUAUCUCUUAGUCUAUAUGAAGGUUUAGAUUCUUAAGAAAACAUCUACUACAUUCAUCACAAUCUCUAUGUGUUCU